UUCUAAGAAAAAUGACUCACGGUUCGGUCAGGAGUCAGUUCAAGAGUCCGCUCUGAACGCUCUGAAGUCUGAUUCAAACCGCCUCACUCACGAGUCACGAGCGAGAUCGAGGCUGCCUUGUAAAUCUUUGACUGACUCAUUAAAAAGAACCGGUUUCAAAGAGUCAUUUGUUCGCCAGUCGGACAUCGCGGCUCGCUCUGUGUUCGUUGUUGCGCACAGGAAACUCUGACACGUGUUCUAACGAGAUGACAUCUGAUGAAAACGCGCGUGGAUGCAGGCUCCUGCGCAUGCAAGGCUAUUUCCUCAAGACUCAUUGGAUGCUGCCCCAUGCAUUUCUACCAGAAGUAGGCAGUUUUGCUUGGAUUUUUUUUUUUUUAUGAUGGGGGCUUUCACACAGGCUGGUGAAAAUGCAACCAUAAACUCCACAUCUCCGCGCAGUUUCUCCUUCGCUGGAAGGCAUGAAUCCAGAGAAAUACUGAGAUGAGACACACUGGUCCAAUGUAGCAGUUUUUUGCCAGUGCUUAUUGAGAAGCAUCAUGCACUGAAAAUGAAUCGUGGUUGGAACAGUGACGUUCAGUCAGUGCUACACAGUUGAUUCAGCUUACGUGGGCGUGAUGCCGCUUUCCCACAUGCAGAUAUCAGCUGUGUCAUUUCAAACCUGUUUUUAAUCAGCAUAACCACGAGCUGCUGCCAGGAGGCGGGACACAAGCUGCAGUUUGUGUGAAUUUCCGUGAAUAGCUCGAGUCGCUUGGCAGGUUGAUUAACAAAGCCUUCGGGUUGAGAGGGAGCUUGUUCUGACCUGUCACAGGAUUCUUGGGCAAAGAUAAGAUUAUUCCUCAUCUGUUACCUAUUGUGGUUUAGAUGACAAGUGAAUUAAAAGUUAAUUCCACUUUCUAAAGAAACUUGAUUCUUCAAGGUGCAAAGCAGGCUGUAAGAGAUGUUCAGCCAUUCUUUAAUGUCAAGUGUGCUAUUCAACACGGCAGGAAAACUCCAUCCAUUCACUCUUAAUAGCUGUCUAAUUGUGAAUGAUUCAUUGGUGCAUGUUAUUCAAAAGAAAAACUGUUUGCCUUUCUAAUCUUUUAUCAGAAUGUAACAACUUGCUCCACCUUGACCUGUCUUUCCAAUUUGGCUGACAUCAUUUAGGAUGCCAAGCUGUUGGACAAUGUUAACCAACAGCCAAAUAAUAAAACCAUGUCUUGACCUAGAUUUUUUUUUUUUUACUUAAUAAAUAUCCCUUUCACUUGGAAAUGCAUUACAUUAUGAAAGUAAAUAGUUUGCAAACAAGCUUGUUCUUGUCUUAUUGCCUUUUAGUUACAAGAGCAAAUACAUUUUUUUUCUAUAAAAACUUUUUUUCAAAUUUUUUAGCCUGAUUUGCAAAAUGUAGCAUACCAUUGUUGUCCUAUUUAAUUGCUGAAGUGAAGACAUAAUUGUGAAAAAUUAAUACUGUUAAUAAAUGAAUACACACAUACAUACAUACAAUUUUUCUAUUAGAUUUCAGCUUUUCAAAAUUUUCAGAAAAUGUGCUUCAAAAUGUACACCCCCUCAGGCCAUACAAGAUGUAGAUGAGAUAUACCCUGUAUAUUAUUUUUGGUCAGAUCAGAUUUAAAGAAAUUUUUGCACUUCAUCACUUGCUUGCUUUAAGAUAUUAACUGAUGGUCUGGAGUCAUACGGAUUAUUUGUGAUUUAUAGUGAUGUUUUUAUCAGAUGUUUGGACUCUGAUUCUGACGGCACCCAUUCACUGCAGAGGAUCCUUUGGUGAGCAAUCCAUAUCUUUUAUGGCUUGAGGGUAAGUUUUAAGCAAAAAAAAAAAGGAAAAAAAAAACAGACCCCCAAACAUGGCUCAGAUGUGUUUUCACCCGUUUUGUUGUUCACCAAGAAAAAUGUAUUCAAGUUGCAUGAUUAAAGGUAUGAUUCAUGUUUGUGGUGAAUUAUAUGCAAACCUUUAAUACUUACAGUUAGAAGUUUGUUCAAACACCAACCCUAUUAUGAGCAAUCGUAACGCUUGCCUUAGCAAGUAAAUGUAAAGGUCAAUUUAGUUCGAUUUUUUUUCAAGCCCUUUCUACUUUGUUCCCAGGCAGCACUUGAGAACAACUGUGCUGACUCAUAAAGAAAAGCAGAAAAGCUAACUCUAAUUAAUCACACACAAGUCAAACAAAUUCACUUUCUCACACUGCAGAAGUGCCAGAAGCCCUCAAGACAAAUUAAUGAAGGCAUUAUCAAAUCAUUUCAAGAGUUUGUCACCUGUUUCUUCCUUCCCAGAAUCAGAGCGUUUAAGUUUAAUAUGUGAUUCGCCUGACUGCACAGAUUCAAUGAUGCAAAUCAUAAACAGAGCUCACGUGCGAUCAGUGAUUCAGAGCGAAGACCUGAAGUGAACUGCUGAGUAGAUCUUCUCACAGGAUAACAGUUGUGGGAACCUAAUGAACACACAGGUGAACGGGGGUCAGCAGCAGUUGUUUUUGCCGCAUGGAUCUAUGCUGAGCUAAGGAGAGAAACAACCUGACUCCUGUAUGGGAUACUGACCUCUGCACAUCCGUCCUGCCCUGGGGGUCGUGACCUUUGGCACACACUGACAGCAGCUGACACUUGUCCAUGUCUUAGUCUUCCACAAUGACAAGACAAUGAUUGUCAUAGAUAAAAACCAAAGGAGGUUAAUGUUUCCUAAUGCACUUUAAGAUGUUGUUUUCAAAUAUUCAAUGACAUCAAUACUUCAUUAUGCAAUACUCUGGAAUACUCAAUUCUGAUUGGUCAUUUGAUGCAUUCUACAGUCAAAUAUAUUUUUAUAUAAUAAUGCUAAUGCUAUUAUAUUACAGUUAUAUUAUAUUAUUGUACUGAAUAUCCCAUGAACAGCCAGAUGUUGUCACGAAAUAAAUCUCUUCGGGAUCAUACAGGACACCUCCAUCCGGGUCCUGAUUGCCCCGUCUGGGUUUAUUUUGCAAUAAAAUGUGGUUCAUUGCCAUAUCUUUGUUGUUCAUCAACAUUUGAAAAAACAUCUGAGUGUGUGUGCAGUAAACGUACCCACAACAAAGGCAGACAACUGUGUGUAGGACAUUAAAAUCUGAUUUUCCGUCACAUCCCUGAUGUUUCAGUACUGCUCCAUCAACGCUUCUCUGAAGGUUUUAACAGAUCGUGAUUUUAUUUUCAUGAUCCCAGACUCCACAUGAACGAGACGGCAGCUCAAGCCUCGCCGUCAGUGUUUGUUAACUGGAAUGAUGAAUAUGAUUCUGUUGGAUUUAGAUUAAAGAUAUGAGCAAAACUACACUAUAAGAAAAAAAAAAUCUAAUUUUCUUAUAAGCUUAUGGGUAUUAUCUCUAAGCCUAAACGGAAAAGCGAUACUAUCCAUAUUUCAAAAUACCAGUGAAAAAUCAAUGUUGAAAAAUCAUAUUAAAAAAGUACAUUGGGCCAUGUUUUUACAGCAUUUUAGAUAUGGGUUUAAAGUAGAAUAACUUCUCUAAAGACAAGACAUAUGUAGCACAGAAGUCUUCAUUAAAGGUUUCUGAAUGAUUCAGCCUCGCAGUUCAGGAUGAAAGAUGUCAGAGGAUGUUCAGAAAAACAUUGAACAUUUUUAGUAUUAGUAUUGUGUAUUUAUUGCAAAAAAAAAAAGUAUUAUUUUUUAACACUUAAAUAAUGAGGUAUUAAUUUCUUUGAUUAAUUGAAAGGUCAAUCGUUGAGCCUAGUUUCACAGAAACCACCCAUCCAUCUUACCCUCCAAUCAUCGUUGCCCUGGACCUUUCUUUCUCUUCCAGGAUCACAGUUACACUUUGUAUCAAAAAUCUACCAUUGUAUCUCAUUGCUCUCAUUGUCUUUUCA